rnacentral:rRNA from 1 species
GAUAAACGCUGGCGGCGUGCCUAAUACAUGCAAGUCGAACGGUAAGGCCCUUCGGGGUACACGAGUGGCGAACGGGUGAGUAACACGUGGGUGAUCUGCCCUGCACUUCGGGAUAAGCCUGGGAAACUGGGUCUAAUACCGGAUAGGACCACUGCCUGCAUGGGUGGUGGUGGAAAGCUUUUGCGGUGUGGGAUGGGCCCGCGGCCUAUCAGCUUGUUGGUGGGGUGAUGGCCUACCAAGGCGACGACGGGUAGCCGGCCUGAGAGGGUAACGGGCCACACUGGGACUGAGAUACGGCCCAGCCUCCUCCGGGAGGCAGCGGUGGGGAAUAUUGCACAAUGGGCGCAAGCCUGAUGCAGCGACGCCGCGUGAGGGAUGACGGCCUUCGGGUUGUAAACCUCUUUCAGCACCGACGAAGCGCAAGUGACGGUAGGCGCAGAAGAAGGACCGGCCAACAACGUGCCAGCCGCCGCGGUAA